GAUGAACGCUGGCGGCGUGCCUAAUACAUGCAAGUCGAGCGAACAGACGAGGAGCUUGCUCCUCUGACGUUAGCGGCGGACGGGUGAGUAACACGUGGAUAACCUACCUAUAAGACUGGGAUAACUUCGGGAAACCGGAGCUAAUACCGGAUAACAUGUUGAACCGCAUGGUUCAACAGUGAAAGACGGUCUUGCUGUCACUUAUAGAUGGAUCCGCGCCGCAUUAGCUAGUUGGUAAGGUAACGGCUUACCAAGGCAACGAUGCGUAGCCGACCUGAGAGGGUGAUCGGCCACACUGGAACUGAGACACGGUCCAGACUCCUACGGGAGGCAGCAGUAGGGAAUCUUCCGCAAUGGGCGAAAGCCUGACGGAGCAACGCCGCGUGAGUGAAGAAGGUCUUCGGAUCGUAAAACUCUGUUAUUAGGGAAGAACAAACGUGUAAGUAACUAUGCACGUCUUGACGGUACCUAAUCAGAAAGCCACGGCUAACUACGUG
rnacentral:rRNA from 1 species